AUAUAUAUAUAUAGAGAGAGAGAGAGAGAGAGAUAUCUAAAAAAAUUUUUUAUUUAGAUAUCUCUCUCUCUCUCUCUCUAUAUAUAUAU